rnacentral:lncRNA from 1 species
AUUCCUUAUGCAGAUCAAUGGUUGCAGUUAUGCUUGCAAUGUCAUUGAUCCUUUCACUUGGGGUGAUUAUGUCCCAAGCUAGGGCAUACCCGUCAUCCUUAGUUUCAAGAAUGUCACAAUCUUCCCAAUCACUUUCACGUCCACUUUGGCACAAAGUAGGGCAAAAAUCAACUCUGGAGCCUGUGGUAACUGCUAACCUUAGAAGGAUACCACCUAGCACACCAAAUCCUACACAGAACAUGUAAGAUUUCCUUUUUCUUCAUUAGUGUCUGCUCAUUGUGUUUUUUUAUGAUAUCUAGAAAUUGACACAAAAGGGUGCUUGUGCAGAGGGUUGACGCCGCCACCUGGGGAAAGUGACUAAGCAGAAGGAACUGAUGGCAUGGAUUGGAGUAUAUACGAAGAUAUAUUCCAAACUGUGGCAUGCAUGAACUCUUGGUCC